rnacentral:rRNA from 1 species
GUCAUGGGCGGAAGCCUGAACAGCCAUGCCGCGUGCAGGAAGACGGCCCUACGGGUUGUAAACUGCUUUUGCAGGGGAAUAAACCUUCGUAUGUAUACGAAGCUGAAUGUACUCUGAGAAUAAGGAUCGGCUAACUCCGUGCCAGCAGCCGCGGUAAUACGGAGGAUCCAAGCGUUAUCCGGAUUUAUUGGGUUUAAGGGUGCGUAGGCGGCCUAUUAAGUCAGGGGUGAAAGACGGUAGCUUAACUAUCGCAGUGCCUUUGAUACUGAUGGGCUUGAAUGGACUAGAGGUAGGCGGAAUGUGACAAGUAGCGGUGAAAUGCAUAGAUAUGUCACAGAACACCAAUUGCGAAGGCAGCUUACUAUGGUUUAAUUGACGCUGAGGCACGAAAGCGUGGGGAUCAAACAGGAUUAGAUACCCUGGUAGUCCACGCCCUAAACGAUGAACACUCGAUGUUAGCGAUAUACAGUUAGCGUCUAAGCGAAAGCGUUAAGUGUUCCACCUGGGGAGUACGCCCGCAAGGGUGAAACUCAAAGGAAUUGACGGGGGCCCGCACAAGCGGAGGAGCAUGUGGUUUAAUUCGAUGAUACGCGAGGAACCUUACCCGGGCUUGAAAGUUAGUGAAUGAUUCAGAGACGGAUCAGCUCUUCGGAGCACGAAACUAGGUGCUGCAUGGCUGUCGUCAGCUCGUGCCGUGAGGUGUUGGGUUAAGUCCCGCAACGAGCGCAACCCCUAUGUUUAGUUGCCAGCACGUCAAGGUGGGGACUCUAAACAGACUGCCUACGCAAGUAGAGAGGAAGGAGGGGACGACGUCAAGUCAUCAUGGCCCUUACGUCCGGGGCUACACACGUGCUACAAUGGAUGGUACAGAGGGCAGCUACCUGGCAACAGGAUGCAAAUCUCUUAAGCCAUUCACAGUUCGGAUCGGGGGUCUGCAACUCGACCCCGUGA